UACGGAGGGUGCGAGCGUUGUCCGGAAUCACUGGGCGUAAAGGGCGCGUAGGCGGCCUGAUAAGUAGGGGGUGAAAUCCUGCGGCUUAACCGCAGGGCUGCCUUCUAAACUGUCAGGCUUGAGCACAGUAGAGGCAGGUGGAAUUCCCGGUGUAGCGGUGGAAUGCGUAGAGAUCGGGAAGAACACCAGAAGCGAAGGCGGCUCACUGGCCCGAUACUGACGCUGAGGCGCGAAAGCGUGGGGAGCAAACAGG
rnacentral:rRNA from 1 species